GACGUAGGGCGCGAGCGUUGUCCGGAUUUAUUGGGCGUAAAGAGCUCGUAGGUGGUUUGUCGCGUUGUUCGUGAAAACUCACAGCUCAACUGUGGGCGUGCGGGCGAUACGGGCAGACUGGAGUACUGCAGGGGAGACUGGAAUUCCUGGUGUAGCGGUGGAAUGCGCAGAUAUCAGGAGGAACACCGGUGGCGAAGGCGGGUCUCUGGGCCGAUACUGACGCUGAGGAGCGAAAGCGUGGGGAGCGAACAGG
rnacentral:rRNA from 1 species